UACGUAGGGGGCAAGCGUUGUCCGGAAUCAUUGGGCGUAAAGCGCGCGUAGGCGGCCCGGUAAGUCCGCUGUAAAAGUCCAGGGCUCAACCCUGGAAAGCCGGUGGAUACUGUCGGGCUAGAGUCCGGAAGAGGCGAGUGGAAUUCCUGGUGUAGCAGUGGAAUGCGCAGAUAUCAGGAGGAACACCGAUGGCGAAGGCAGCUCGCUGGGACGGUACUGACGCUGAGGCGCGAAAGCGUGGGGAGCGAACAGG
rnacentral:rRNA from 1 species